GAGUGGCGGACGGGUGAGUAAUGUCUGGGAAACUGCCUGAUGGAGGGGGAUAACUACUGGAAACGGUGGCUAAUACCGCAUAACGUCGCAAGACCAAAGAGGGGGACCUUCGGGCCUCUUGCCAUCAGAUGUGCCCAGAUGGGAUUAGCUUGUUGGUGAGGUAACGGCUCACCAAGGCGACGAUCCCUAGCUGGUCUGAGAGGAUGACCAGCCACACUGGAACUGAGACACGGUCCAGACUCCUACGGGAGGCAGCAGUGGGGAAUAUUGCACAAUGGGCGCAAGCCUGAUGCAGCCAUGCCGCGUGUAUGAAGAAGGCCUUCGGGUUGUAAAGUACUUUCAGCGGGGAGGAAGGUGUUGUGGUUAAUAACCGCAGCAAUUGACGUUACCCGCAGAAGAAGCACCGGCUAACUCCGUGCCAGCAGCCGCGGUAAUACGGAGGGUGCAAGCGUUAAUCGGAAUUACUGGGCGUAAAGCGCACGCAGGCGGUCUGUCAAGUCGGAUGUGAAAUCCCCGGGCUCAACCUGGGAACUGCAUUCGAAACUGGCAGGCUUGAGUCUUGUAGAGGGGGGUAGAAUUCCAGGUGUAGCGGUGAAAUGCGUAGAGAUCUGGAGGAAUACCGGUGGCGAAGGCGGCCCCCUGGACAAAGACUGACGCUCAGGUGCGAAAGCGUGGGGAGCAAACAGGAUUAGAUACCCUGGUAGUCCACGCCGUAAACGAUGUCUACUUGGAGGUUGUGCCCUUGAGGCGUGGCUUCCGGAGCUAACGCGUUAAGUAGACCGCCUGGGGAGUACGGCCGCAAGGUUAAAACUCAAAUGAAUUGACGGGGGCCCGCACAAGCGGUGGAGCAUGUGGUUUAAUUCGAUGCACGCGAGAACUUACCUGGUCUGACAUCCACGGAGUUUCAGAGAUGACAUGUGCCUCGGACGUGAGACAGUGCUGCAUGCUGUCGUCAGCUCUGCUGUGAAUGUGGCUAAGUCCUCAACGAGCCAACGUAAUCUUGUGCAGCGAUAGGUCGGAACUCAAGGAGACUGCCGGUUACUGUGCGGGUGGGUAGUCAGUCCAUGGCGUUCGACAAGGUAUACACCCUG
rnacentral:rRNA from 1 species